rnacentral:pre_miRNA from 1 species
AAACAGUCUCUUAUGUUUUGAUUCUUUAGUAGUUUUGGACCCCCAAGACAAAAACAAAAAAAAAUUGACACGUGGCACCUACCACGUCAGCGUUGACCGAGUCAACAAUGGACUGAGGGUCCAAAACUGCCAAAGAAUCAAAACAUAGGUGGCUGUUU